UACUGAGACACGGACCAGACUCCUACGGGAGGCAGCAGUAAGGAAUAUUGGUCAAUGGAGGGAACUCUGAACCAGCCAUGCCGCGUGCAGGAUGACGGCCCUCUGGGUUGUAAACUGCUUUUAUUCGGGAAUAAACCUACUUACGUGUAAGUAGCUGAAUGUACCGAAGGAAUAAGGAUCGGCUAACUCCGUGCCAGCAGCCGCGGUAAUACGGAGGAUCCAAGCGUUAUCCGGAUUUAUUGGGUUUAAAGGGUGCGUAGGCGGCUUUUUAAGUCAGGGGUGAAAGACGGUAGCUCAACUAUCGCAGUGCCCUUGAUACUGAAGAGCUUGAAUGAACUAGAGGUAGGCGGAAUGUGACAAGUAGCGGUGAAAUGCAUAGAUAUGUCA
rnacentral:rRNA from 1 species